rnacentral:rRNA from 1 species
CCCUUAGACGUUCUGGGCCGCACGCGCGCUACACUGACCGGUGCAACAAGCAUCCGUCCUUGGCCGACAGGCCCGGGCAAUCUUUGAACGCCGGUCGUGAUGGGGAUAGACUUUUGCAAUUUUUGGUCUUCAACGAGGAAUUCCUAGUAAACGCAAGUCAUCAACUUGCAUUGAUUACGUCCCUGCCCUUUGUACACACUGCCCGUCGCACCUACCGAUUGAAUGGUCCGGUGAAGCCUCCGGAUUGGCGCGCACCUCGGUGCCGCCGAGAAGUUGGCUAAACCUUACCAUUUAGAGGAAGGUGAAGUCGUAACA